UCCCUGAUAGCUCAGUUGGUAAAGAAUCUGCCUGCAAUGCAGGAGACCCUGGUUCAGUUCCUGGGUCAGGGAG
rfam:TPA: Bos taurus chromosome 7, whole genome shotgun sequence.